rnacentral:rRNA from 1 species
AUUGAACGCUGGCGGCAGGCCUAACACAUGCAAGUCGAGCGGAUGAAGGGAGCUUGCUCCUGGAUUCAGCGGCGGACGGGUGAGUAAUGCCUAGGAAUCUGCCUGGUAGUGGGGGAUAACGUCCGGAAACGGGUGCUAAUACCGCAUACGUCCUGAGGGAGAAAGUGGGGGAUCUUCGGACCUCAUGCUAUCAGAUGAGCCUAGGUCGGAUUAGCUAGCUGGUGGGGUAAAGGCCUACCAAGGCGACGAUCCGUAACUGGUCUGAGAGGAUGAUCAGUCACACUGGAACUGGGCCACGGUCCAGACUCCUACGGGAGGCAGCAGUGGGGAAUAUUGGACAAUGGGCGGAAGCCUGAUCCAGCCGUGCCGCGUGUGUGAAGAAGGUCUUCGGAUUGUAAAGCACUUUAAGUUGGGAGGAAGGGCAGUAAGUUAAUACCUUGCUGUUUUGACGUUACCAACAGAAUAAGCACCGGCUAACUUCGUG